UUUAUUUGAAAACUUAAAGUUAUUUUACAAAAAAAAGAAAUCACGCUUUAGCCACCACGGCUUAAAAGGUAGAACAACUUAAUAUGAAAUACAGGAGCAGCCACCUCGACUGGUCUCCUUGCAUUAACUGAGCUUUCCUCCGCACGCUUUUCCUCGUUUCACCCUCGCGUCCUUUUCCCUUUCCUACCCGAUUUUUCCAACAGGCCCAUCCCUUUGGGUCUGCGUCAGCGCCCUCUAUAUCGGUCAUCGACCUAUAGCAUCGCGUCCUUCCGCUUGGUUCCCGCCUCUUCCGGUCCUCUUCCGCACCCUUUGUCCCUCCCACACUACUCUUAGCCUUGCCGAUUUUUCGUUAGAUGGCCCUCUCUGUACCGUUUUCAAUUUUUCUACGCGUUAUUUAUAAUAUGUUUGUAAAAUUUAUAUUUUGUAAUAAUAUAUUCUGCCUGUAUAAUAUAUUCAUUAUAAUAUUCUGCCUGCUAUUUUUAACUAAUUUUGUAUAACAUUCAUUUUUUAAUUGAAAUCAAAUCGUAAAAUCUGCACGGAUAAAUAAUCAUUUUACGCCGUGGUCGCCAACUUUUUAUCUAACAUAAUAAAUCUAUGUAACUAUUAAACUAAAAACUAAUCAUAAAAUUUGUACGAGUAUUAUUUUAAAUUUUACUCCGCGAACACGUGCUCUUACUCUUGAACUAAAUAAAAUAUGCACAGCUGUAGCUUAGUAUUUUCAGCUGUCCAUAAUUUACAUGAAUUUAAAUCUUCUACAUUAUUUAAUAUAAAUAUUCUACUUCAAAAAUAAAAAUUUUAUCCACGGCUUCGUGUUCUACGGCGUAACAUAAGCAUAGUAAACAAAAUUUCUCCAGACAUUUCUGGGUUUUUCCCAGCUGCGCACAAAUUUUGUGGUAGGGCCGCUGCCCGCCGCACCGAUCCCAAUCGCUAUGCCCACGCUCGCUCUUAAUGGCCCGGACUGUCUAACUGCGCUGUCCGGACGCUCGCUUAUCUACGGCUAUGACGUAACAAUACUUACUUCUUACUGAACUAACUGUACAAGAUGACUACAACGUGUGAAUACUAAACAAUGUUCAAAAAUAACAUGCUGCAAUGUCCAGAAGAAAACGUUUAUAUUGUGGACAUUCAAGGGUUUCAAAGAAUUGCCGUGGAUACUUUUAGUUUUAAGGAAAUCAGUUUUCUUAACUUGAAAAAAACUGCUUUUCCAACUGUAUAUCUCUUUAAGUCACCAAUGCCUUGGGAAGAUCUAACAGAGGAAGAAAAAUGCAUGAUACACUGGCUAGAAAAAAGUUACCAUGGAAUCGAAUGGAAUUCUGGUGAUAUCGAUACCAUCGACUUAAGCAUGUUUUAGAAAUCUGUACGCAAGGUGUUCAAAAGCUAUUUAUCAAGGGGGAGCAGAAAGCACAGUGGAUAAAAAAUUAUUUACCAAAUGCUUUAAUCUCAAAUGUUGAAGAUCUCGGAUGUCCAUCACUUGAGAAUUUUAUAUUAUUAUAAAUUGCUAAUCGAGGAACGUGAUGUCCUCUAUUAUGCGUGGCGGGAUUUUGGGUUGGGAUGGACCUGCCUCUGUUUUGUGCAAUGAUGACGGUGCUACUUUCCCUCGAGAUGCCGUUGCUGCUGCCUUCGGUGGAGCAGGUGCAUUUUCCUUCCCCUUGCUGCGAUCCAGCCUCAGCAAGCCUCGCUUUGACGAAUGGGCAUGAUCCUUAUUAUCAUGAAGAGGCGCUUUUACAUCUGAAACAAAAUAAAUAUAAACAUAGUUAAUUUUAUGAUUUUAAUAUUACAAAAAAAAAUGAUUUAAAAAAAUAUUUAUUUAUAAUUUACCUGCAUUGAACAGCGAGGAAAUCGAAAGAGGAACUCUAACGUCUUUCUUGACUUCUGUAACCAAAAAGAAAUAACAAUAAAUUUUUUUUACAAAACUAAAAAAAUCAUACGUAUACUAUUUCAUGUGCUUAAGCGGUCGGCAAGUAUAAUUUUUUUUCGUCUGCUGUGCGGAUGUGAAAUGACACUUCCCGGCCACUGACACGUAAAAUUUAUAUUUAA